UGGCUGGGGUAAGACCCAGUCUUUUCUUGACUCUUCAAAGGUCUUGGAAUAAGGGGUGGGUAAGGACGGUGCCAGCCGCCGCGGUAAUACCGGCGCCUCAAGUGGUAGUCGAUUUUAUUGGGCCUAAAACGUCCGUCGCCUGUUUGGUACAUUCGUGGGUAAAUCAACCAGCUCAACUGGUUGAAUUCUGCGAGCACGGCCAGACUUGGGACCGGGAGAGGUGUGGGGUACGUUCAGGGUAGGGGUAAAAUCCUGUCAUCCUAAACGGACCACCUGUUGCGAAGGCUCCACACUAGAACGGAUCCGACGGUCAGGGACGAAGCCUAGGGGCACGAACCGGAUUAGAUACCCGGGUAGUCCUAGGUGUAAACGCUGUGGACUUGGUGUUGGGGACUCUCCGAGAUUCCUCAGUGCCGAAGCGAAGGUGAUAAGUCCACUGCCUGGGGAGUACGGUCGCAAGGCU
rnacentral:rRNA from 1 species